UACGUAGGGGGCAAGCGUUGUCCGGAAUCAUUGGGCGUAAAGAGCGUGUAGGCGGCUCGGUAAGUCCGCUGUGAAAGUCUAGGGCUCAACCCUGGAAUGCCGGUGGAAACUGUCGAGCUAGAGUCCGGAAGAGGCGAGUGGAAUUCCUGGUGUAGCGGUGAAAUGCGCAGAUAUCAGGAGGAACACCAAUGGCGAAGGCAGCUCGCUGGGACGGUACUGACGCUGAGACGCGAAAGCGUGGGGAGCAAACGGG
rnacentral:rRNA from 1 species